GGUCAGAAGUAGUGCACAAUAUAGGGAAUAGGGUGCCAAUUGGCAUACAUCCACUGCCAGCAGGCUGAGGUGGGGCCAUUGUUGAUGACACAUCAUUUGUCCUAUUGGAAUGGAAUAUGGGCAUUCUGAGGAUGACAACUACACACACACACAUUGUUUUCAGUCUCUUAUCUAUCAUAUAACAUGCAUACUCAGUGUUCUUUCUGUUAUCUGUCAAACGCUGAACGUCCGAUCAACAUGACUAUAUACAGUACUAACUGGGCCGUAACUCAUUUAGUUGUAAAAAUAAAACGUAAAGUUACUGUAAAUUGUUAGCACAAGAACAUUGUCUUAUAUGAUGCUACUUUUUAUGAUAGUAUAUGGCACAAGAGAAAAGACAUUUGUAAAGAGAGUGAAACAGUAAAGUAUGUUUUAAAGGACCUUUUGUAAGGGUGAAACAGUGAAACAGUAAAGUAUGUUUUAAAGGACCUUUUGUAAGGGUGAAACAGUAAAGAAUGUUUUAAAGGACCUUCUGUAAGGGUGAAACAGUGAAACAGUAAAGUAUGUUUUAA
rnacentral:lncRNA from 1 species